CCAAAAUCACAAGCGAGUCUGGCUGUUAGGUGUCAAGUUCAACUCUCACAGAUUGCCCAGCGUGGUCUGAGCCAACUUUUCAGAUGUUCGUCCAUGCACAAAAUGAUGCAUGUGUCACUCAGGGUCUGUGCUUGCUCAGACAACACCUCCAUUAAGGCUUCAGAAGAGAGAUUUUCCUGCCUAGAGGUCAUGUGGAGUCUGCAGUGAGACUGGUGUGUAGUGUGGGGCAUGGCUAAGCUCAGGACCAUUCACAAAAGGCACUGUGUUAAGAAGGAAAGAAUUAUGCUUUGCUGCUCAGGAGCUCCCCUCGGAGGAAUGUGCUAUUUCAUUGCUCCAUUAUGUUGGACAUCCAUCUGUAUGGACAAGUCAGAUCAGUGUUUGAUUAUUCUCAUUACUUCUGGUAAGCAGAUAUCCUCUCCCUUCCCAGCUUUUUUGUUAUUCUCACUACUCAGCUCACAGAGAAGAGUCUUUUUGGUUUUCUUCUUAGUUACUGUUAGUCUUCCUCAAAAAAAAAACAAAACAAACCAACCAACCAAACAACAACAACAACAAAAAACACCCCACAGACCAAAGCGAAACAAAAAGCUGUGAUCCACACAACUAAAACCAUUUAAACAAUCAUCCUCAGUCUUACCUGGUGAGAGAGAUUUGCACUUCCUUUUUCUAGGGGAUAGUCCUUUCUGUGGCCUGAGCAGACCCGAUCAUUCCAGUUUGUGUCACAGCUGAGCCAUCUCUGAGCAUCAGGGUGCAACCAGAGCCCUCCUGAGGUUCCUUCCUUCCAGAGUGGUCCUAUGGUUUCCCCAUAGGCUGGUAGAGCUGAGGGACUGACUGAGAGGUCUCUUUUGGGCAUCAUGAUCUGUGGAUCCUGAAGUCAUCUUCCCCAGCAGACUGAUUGGCAAUACCCUGAGCAGACACAGGUUGCUUCACUGUUCUCUCUGUUGGGAUGUUCCCCUCCUCAGUUUCAGUCAUUUGUCUCACAUAGGCUUCAGUACUCACCACUGUCUUAACUACUGACAGAGGCUGGAAACAUAUUGUUCAGCUUUGUCUCACUAGGGUCAAGAUCAGUAAAUGUGGUACCCAGACUAAUUCAGAUCAUAGUUUUCUCAUGUUGAAUUGUUUCCUUGUCCAGCCACCAGGCAGCAAGAUUAAAUAACUUGUUGUCAUUUUGAUGUCUAUCAACUACCAGUUGACAGACAUUUUUAUUUCUGCGGAUCGGUGCUGAUGUUUGUGUGACACUGGAUCUGUUCAAAGUUUGAGGAGUGGGUCCUUGCCUUGACAUCUUGCUUCCUGGUUGGAACAGCAUAACUUGGGCAUAAUCAGUCCCAUUCUAGUCAAGUCCCCUCUGUGCCAGUUUUCACAGUAAAGAAACAAGCCAGAUGGGCACCAAAACUAACUCCCAAGAAGAGGAGCUGAAGCCACAAUUCCUGGUCUUCAGUGGCACAUCCCAACAUAUAGGUUCUGUCAAAGUUGAAAGUUAUAGGUGAAGUAUCUAGGAUUCCUCUUCUUGCCCUCAUAGAGUAAGUGGGUGUUGCUGCUGAGCUUCUCACUUAUUCAGUUUUGCCUUCUCAUCAUGAUAGGUUCUUGCGUGUUCCCAGCCAGACUCAAUCAAUCCCAUUUUUUUUCCACAGGAUGUUAGAAAUAUUCAUAUACACAGUAGAGCAUCAGAUCCCCUCUCAGCCAGAAUUAAACAACGUGACAACUUUUCUCAGUAACUUUUACUAAAGUAGCAGAGAUUUAAACUCACUUUUUUUUUUUCCUACUCUAGACGAACAUUCCACCCAAACUUCCCAGGUUCUUACAUAUACUCCUCUUUUCAUACUGAAGGAUAGCAGGCAUUUGCCAGCUGAGCUGUCUGCCAUCUUUCCCCAGCCAUCUUUUAUCAGAUUACAGCAGUUUUCUGAACCUGGUUUGUGCAUUGCUGGCCCAUGAAAGUUAGACAUCCUAGCUCCAGUAUCCUGAGAACGUAACUUGUCAAUAUAGCAUGUGAUUCAUGCAAUUCAUGUAAUCCAUAGAACAAAUGCCAGCUUUGAUUUGUAAUUGCUUUAAAACACUCAUUUAUAAAUGUUAAUUUGAUCCUCCUGGCAAUUGUUUUUCCGAUUGCUUUAGAUAAAAAAUGGUCUUUCUUGUAGAUUUUAGAAAAAUCCAAGAUGCAGGCUCUUCUGAAGUUUACUAAUGAAUUUAAAGAUUAACCUGCCAAUUUUAAAGGAAUUAUAUUUCUGUCUCAAACUACAUUUCUCCAUGUAGCAAGGGUCACUUACAAAUGUUUUUGUUGAAAAGCACUAUCUUUGUUAGCUCUAUUUAUCUUCAAAAGGCAGCUCCAGGAUAGGAGAUUUCAUUUAAAAAUAAAUAAAAAAUCAUCAUUUAUGGCACUUAAAAUUAUUUUGAGAACCUGAAUCAAAGUAUGAUGGCUUGCCUUUCGUAGCCUUGAGACAGUGUAAAACUAUAGCCAUGCUGUGUUAAACACUUCAUACAGCUUGGGCUUUGCUUUGAUUUGAUUUGCUUGUUAUUUAUUUACACGCUAUAGGCCAGACUCUCUCCUGUGCCAGAGCUCCACUCUGUUUGGGGAUGGGUCAUAAGGAAGUAAUUACCACUCCCUGUCCUCCACAUGAUUUCUCCUGGUUGCCAGGCAGCUCUGUGUUAGACCUCUUGUGCAAGGUUCUUAAGAGUGCAUUAAAUUCAACGUGACUUCAGGAUACGCCUAGACUUUGGCACAUUCUUCUCUUCCAGGCAUUUACAAUCCUUAAGGGUAGUCUGAUUUUGGAAAGAUAGGAUAUUUAACUUUCUUGAGUCUGCAUUAGUGCAUGCAAUAGUAGAACUUCAUUUAUGAUGAAGAUACCUAUCCAAAUACAGCUUCAGAAUUAUAUGAAUCUCUGUUCAAUGCCUGGCGUAGUAGAAUAGAGGCUUUCAGGAACUUCUGGAAUAUAAAUACCACUUGUAAAGAGAUGGAACUGGAAGGUCCUUUCCAAGACAGAAGGUUAAGUGGCAGCAUGGAGACCAUGGCUGGAAAACCUUCUGUCCUCCCUUUAUGCUCAGUAGCCUUGAGGGCAACAUUGCCCAGGCUUUUCCCCCUAACACAGCUGCAGUGUGUUUGAAAAUCCUGGAGAUUGGCCACUCCAUCUGGACUCAUCCCACACACUUCAGUGAGGUGCUUGGUGAGGCUGGUCAGCAUGGACCCCCUACUGCAGCCAGGGAAGGAACAUAUCUCCCGCUGGUGAUUCUGACCAUUUAAGUUUGUCAUUUGAAUAUAAGGAGGCUGUGAACAUCUUGGAUCCUAACACAUGGGCUGCUGUGAAGUGUCUGUUGUUAAGUGAGUGGGAUUUUUAAAAAUUUAUAUCCAAAUCUGAAUAAAGUGAAGACUGUUAAGGAAAGAUAAGGUUGUAUUUCCACUCAGGAUUCAUUUGCAAAUUGUCUAACUGAGAUGUUUUUGUUUUGAUUGCUUGUUAUUCCAAAAAUACUGAGUUCUUUUUGCCACUUUUUGUCCUAUUUAGCGAUAGAACCUAACGGAGAUUUAGGCCCGGAGAUGAAAAUUGGGAGUUCCUAGUCAUCACUCAUCUUCAUGGCACAAUGUGAAAUGUCUGAGUCCUAAUUUUUUCCAUUCUUUUUUUCUUCCUGUCACAUCACAGUUCCUUUAACUGGAAUUGCUCAACCCAAAUGUAAACUGUAGGUAAACCUGUUGGUAUCACCUUAAAGACUCAGCCAGAUGCUAUACCUAGAGCCUAGCUUUCAGCUGUCUGAACCAAAAUUCAUCUUUUCUGUUCAUGUAAACCCAGUAGAUUUUCAAUAACCAUGGGUCAGCUGGUCUGUGUGGGACCAUUUUGGUGCAUUCAUGGGUUGUGAGGAUGUUGAGAAUACCUAGUAAGAAUAGGUUUCUUUCAAAAAUUUAGCUAAAAAUUAAAGUUUAAUUUUAAAAUAUUUAACUCAAUACCUCAAUUUAUCACACUUCAUCUAAUUUUUCAAAACAAUAGAUUUUGGUUAGAUUUGAAUCAAAACAGAAAAUAGUAGACACUUGAUUAGCAGAAAGUACCUUGUCCUUGCCAAGUCUGAAGUGCCCUCUGCAAAGCAUGGGCGUAUUUGGAGAAGAAGCUGCUAACAUUAAUAUAUAUAUAUAUAUAUAUCAUAUAUAUAUAUAUAUAUAUAUAUAUCAGUGAAACAAUAUAUUUCCCCCACACAGCCUGGCUCAGAAAUGGCUGAAAUAUUUUGCUCUAUUAAACAAAUAAUAAUCAGCUUGAUGCAUGGAAUAUAACAGUACAUCCAGUUGAAGUCUAACAAAGCUAUGAGGAGCCAGAGCCAGAGAUCUAAUGAACUUUUAGGAGAGGUUUCAUGUCUAAUAACAGUAAUGUUGCCCUUUGGCCCAGCAAGCAGAGCAUCACAGGAUCAGUGUGUGCCAGCUGACAGCCAUGGAGGGAUUGAUCCAGGCACUCUGCAGAGUGGAGCGCUGGUUGCUUUUCCCCUUCCUCGGGCUUCUUCCUUUGGACUUUAGGAGAUGCUAUUAAUGGCAGAAAUUCAGAGAGAGGGAACUACAUGCUCCUGGUCUCACUGGGAAGGACACUGGGGUACAUGACGAUCUGAGUAUCCUUACUGCUUUAGGAAAGAAGCCCAAAGGUUCCUGAACAACAGGUUUAGUAGGAAAGUGUAUUUUAUCCUGUGAUGUAACUGAGUGUCAAGUCAGAGGCAGUGUCCCUGAGCUGUCUCACAUCUUUGCACUGCAUCUGUAAUGCAGAACUUGGGUUCAGGUUUUUCCACCUUAUUGUCACCACCUCUUAUGGAUGCCUAUUUCUACAGACAAUGGAGAGAAGUGGGAAUCUCCAGCAGGUGAUUCAGCCCAACUCAGACAAGCAAACAAGCCAAUUCAUAAGCUCAGCACAGGCAGUCUUCCCACGGAUACCUGAGACAGCUACAUUUUUUUUAUUAUUUAUUUUUUAUUUUUAUUUUUUGUGGUAACACUUGUUUUACAAAGUUCAGUGAAGAAAACCAAAUGCAAAAGUGAUUCUCAGGUGUAAUGUCCCUGAAGGAGGAAGGAGCUCUGCUAUAAAAGGUGUGCCAGUCCCCGCCAGCACUACACCACUGAUGGUACCAGUCCUGUCUGGCUGAGAGGUGCUGCAGGAAUAAUUAAUAUUUCUGAAGAAUGGUUCCAAAGGUGGGGGAGAAACACAUUUGUUGCCUGGGGUGGCUCUUAGAUUGUAAAUCAUAUGGCAGUCCCACAUAAAUACCUUUGAGAGCUUUUAAUGAACCGUGUCCCAUAGGUGAAAGCCAACAGCAAUAUUAGAAAUGGUGUUUGUUUUAUGGCCUAGAAACUGCAUUUUAAAUGCUAGUAUAGCUUUAUAUGACAGUUGUAUUAAAUAUAAAAUAGACCCAUUACAAAGAAAGCCCUUUACAUCUGCUUUUAUCUGUGUCUAAAUGGCAUGCCCAGCUCUGCAAUUUCUCAAAUGAGACAUUUUUAGAACUUUAUUUAUGUUACAGCCAUAACAAACUAGCAACUAGAAAACUAUAAUGGGCACAAACGGCUAAUAAAAAUGAGAUUGUUGAAAAAUACUUCUUAAUAGCAAUUUACAAAGGAUCCUGAUAAAACAGAACUGAGGCUCUGUUUCCCUGGACGUUUGCCACUACUGUAAUCACAGUCAUUUGGCAACAGGUACUCCCCCUCUUCCAUCUUCUCUGACCAUUUCCCUCUGAAUAUGCUGAAAGCCAAGUACCCUGAGGUUACUCCCUGCCCUGCCAUUAGUCACUUGGUACCUACUGAUGCAUAGACACAGAGGAGCAAUUCCCCUUUUCUCUCCUCUUACCAUGCCUGGGAUGACCUGACAGAGGAAGCAUCCUGAAGUCACAAGCUCAGAGGAGAAUAGGGCAGCAAGGCAGUAUCUGUCCCACACAUGCAGAGGGUGCCCUUUUUGCUUCUGAAACCUGCAUCACCUCUCUGAUGAACUGAUCUGUUUACACAGACUGGCUAGGAUGAGUAGGUCAAGCUCUCUGUUUAUAGACUGAAAAUUAUUUUGCCUUGAGCUGCCCAAGCAAAAGACUGGAGGCUGAACUGAUUUCCUUCGAAGGACAACUUCUGUGAGUUUUGAGAAUGUCCAUGUGGCUGUUCACAUGAUGCCAGGGAGAAACUUUAUGCCACCCAAGGAAGAAAUGCCUUCUUCCAGAUCCUCGCUCAUCUGCCACAGACAUACUGGUUAGCCAAGGGAGAAAAGGGCAAAGCAACAUGUUCAAGUCAAGGUCAGAGAACUUGGUAUGAUCUAAUUGCAGGUAGUGAUGAAUAUCAUUGAAUAUAAACAAAUGGCUUAAUCAGUACAGCAUUAUACUUACCUAAUAAGGAAAAAUUCCUGUUAGUUUUUACAUCCAAUGGAAAACAACCAAGUUUUAGGAAAGAAAAUGAAACAGUUUUUCUUGAAGAAUUAUGAAGGGCUAAAAGCACCAAACAGUUUACUGGGGAAAGAAAAAAAAAAAAAAAAAGAUAAUGAUAUGUCUUAACAUCACUUAAGACCUGCCCUGAAAGUUGGUUGUUCAUGUCACUACUUAGAAUCAUAUAAUGAGAUAGUCCAAACUCCAUGCAAAGUAAGAUUUGCAUCAGUGUGGGAAGCUACUCAACCACCUCCCAGGGAGGCUGCCAGAAGCAGUAGAAACAGUACCCACGUGCCAGGAAAAUCUCAGCCCAGACCUCUCCUGAACUCACAGCUCUCUGCACACAUCCACUAACUCAUCUGUUAUGCUUACUGCUAGUUUGCUAGUUCAGUUUGAGAUGAAGACUAUGCAUUGUGUCCUUAGAAAUUCUGCCUUUACCCAAAAGAGAUUCAACAGUAUAGCCUGAAAUAUCUGAAACUAGCACUAAGUGCAGAAUAUUUCACGCAAUGGUAGGAGAAGACCUUUGACAGUACAGAUACACAUACAGUUACAUAUACUGACUGGGGUAUAAGUGCAGAAUGAUAACUGUUUUAUACACUGUGAGUCUGUAGCAUUACCUCAAUUGAUGGUAGCCUUGUGGCUGUCACUGCAAAAAUUUAGCCUUCAGAUAGACCUCUGUUGACUUUUUUACUGAAAAUUAAAUAUUUGGCUAAAGAUUAAACAAAAGGAAAAGGAAGCAUAAAAAUGUAUUAAACUCCAAACAAAAUCAUGGCAACAACAGGAACUGCAGAAACAACAUCGGUUUAGAGCUGAGCUAAUCAAAGCACGUGGAUUAGCCUGACCUGUGAACAGCUGAGCUUCCACUCUAGAGUGUCUCACUCAGAUAUUGGCAUUAGAAAUUGCAGAAGUCCUGCUAUCAGAUGUGAAAGGCCCUCUACUCCUACCUCUGUGGGAUCAAGGAUGUUAACACUUAAGGGAAUGAACCUCUGGAGUGAUUGUAUUUUGGCCUUUACCUGAAGCAGAGUGAUGAGAAGAUGAGAGGUUCUCCUUGAGUUGUGAUCUGCUGUAUUCCUACUGCCUCCAGCGAUGCAAAGCAGCCACUUGGUGGCAGGGAAGGGAGAUGUUGUUGGAAACAUCCAUCUCCAGAGGAGAGCUUUCUUCCUUCUUCCCAGAAGAGGCAAUAUAGAGUUAUCAUCAUGUUUUGCAAAUGCCACGAAUACAUACAGAUCAUAAUCUUUCACUGGCUGAUGAUUAAAUUGCAUUUUGGACACAAACAACCAGGGCCAACAUCUCUCAAAAUAGAAUGGGAACCAAUAAAAGUAAUUUAAAUAUAAUGGGGCCAUAUUUUUUUUAGUGAAAAGAGAGUUACACAAGAUUUCUCCUGCAAGAGUUAUGUUGUGAUCUAAAAUACAACUUUGAUCAGAUGCUGGAGCUAUGUUUUCUACCUGUGUGACCUUUUUCUUGCAUGAUAGAGGUAAGGGAAAUCAGUAGAGAAAGAAGGAAAAUGAGUCACUAGUGCAGAAAGAAGCUCAAUUGUCAGCUGCAUCAAACUGGUUUUGAGAAGAAAACAAAACAACAGCUACUCCCAGAGAUCUAAAGGUGUAAACAACAGUAAAAUCAAAAGUACACUCAUAUAUAUCUCUUGGAAGUAUCACAUGCGCAGUAGAUAACGGCAGAAUGAGGUAUUACCUGCUCUGUGUGUUGAUGGAAACAUUCAUCUGCAAGAACCGAUGUCUUCCUGGUCUCUAAUUACAUUGAUUCUCUCGCAUGCAUAAAGUUGCAAUAUCCCUAAUUAUAUGAAUUAAUGUUUCCCCAUUGUUUCACAACUUCAGUGAGAGUACAACUCCUGAGAAUGAGAAACUGCAGGAAGAAAAUUGCAUACUUAAUUCAUCCCCCAAAUCAGAAUUGUGUUGAUAGAUACUGUUUUUCUGAUCUGCUCUGAAGUGCACAUUUGGUUAUCUUGUACAGUUUCAGAGAUCUAUGCUAUAAAAUCCCAGUUCAAAGACAGAGCCAUGACUGAAAGAUUUUGUAUUAACAUUUGUAGGUUUUUUUAGUAAUGCUUUUCUAUUCUGAAGAUAUGCACGCAGCAUGUAUGUCAGUAUGUUCAGUGUUUUACAGUCUGCAGACUCCCGUAAGUUUUUCCAUGGAAUUAUGGAUACCUGCAUAGACAGCUAAAACUUUCUAUUUGGGAAUGUAUUUCUCUGAGCUCCCUUUUGCAAAUCCUGUAGUACUCCUCUGGAGAUCUGAUGGAUCUUCAAAGGUUUUCACCUCACGUUGAAAUUCAGGCCUCACCCUUUGUAAUAAAGUAACCUCAAAAGAUUUAGGUUGAAUUUAUUUAGGCAGAAGAACUUUGAAUAUAUUCCAGAUUUUUUUGUGUCUGAAGAUUUUCUGCAGAAAGAAUAAAAAGUCAACUCUUUUUAAAUCAGCUAAUGACAGUAGAGAAAAUUUUCUCUCUCCUUUCUUUACUACAAAUUGCCACAAAAAUUAAUUCUCUUCCAUUUGCAGAUCAUGCAAGGUUACAGAGCCUGAGUUACCGUAUCUUGCACGGAUGGCUUCCAGUCAUUUUAUUUUUAGAAACUAGAACUAGAGGAAUACACCAAAUUAGACAAAGUUUCCUCCCCUAUUUAAACUUCAUGAAAAGUGCUGGACAUGUAGAUCUUAGGUUAAGCUUUGAAAGGAUUAAGAAUUAAUCCAGGCCAUUCUCAGAUCACUUUUCAAAAAUAAGAAUGAGCAGAUAUGAGUGAAUUUUAUUCUAAACACUUAAAAUGAUACCAGUUUUAACCAAUGAAAGUGAUAUGAAAUGUUGUGAGGAACAGCACCAUUCUAAAUUCUAAUUCUUCAAAAAUUAUGUGUAUAUUGAAAAUGUAUGAAUGUAUUUUGUGUUUAUACAGUUUACUGACUUCUCUCUUAGGAGAUCAUGGCUUACAUAAGGUCAGGAAAAAGUUAUUAGGGAAAGAAAUAACGUGGCCUAAAAAGAUCAAAUCACUUGACCUGAUAGAACAUUUAUGCAGCUGAGACUAGAUUUCAGCUCUCCUAGGUGAUACUGCAUGCAUGCAUUAGUCAUACUGAGGCACCAUAAUGAGAUGAAACCAUGAAUGCUGAGCUGUGAGGAUGUGUGGUUAAUUCCUAAAAUCAACUUGGAUGAAAGAGCUGAUUUAUCACAGGAAUAUGAAUACUUUUUUCUUACAGGUGUAUGGUACCCGUCUUCAUUUUAUAGUUGCUCAGAGGAACAAAUUUACUAUAUUUUGAAUUCCAUCUGUUUUCUGAUGGCUAUAAAGCUGAUGUCUGUAGUGCAGAAUUGUUUGGCUCGAUGUAAUUUGAGUACCAGAAAAGCCCUUCCUGGUUCAUGGUUCCAAAUGCUUCACAUCUUUCAAACCUCUAACGACUUUCACGUGAUCCAUCUGGAUCUCCCACCACCAUCCCUGCAGGACAACUGCAUCACAGGAUCACUCUCACAGCCUGGAUGUCUGUGUAGGCAUGGCUGGCAUCUCCUUCUCACCACUUUUCCACUAACAAUAAUAAAAUAAUAAUAAUAAUAAUAAUAAUAAAAGCCUUGGUAACUAGCUGGGGAGGAUAAUACAGAUCCUAACUGUCACCCCUCCUCCCAAAACAUGCAAACCAAAGCACCCAUUGAUCUGGGAGGAGCUCAUAAGGAAGCCAGAAACAAGCACAACAAAUCAUGAAAAACAUCUGCAAGUGACUUCAGCUAGAACACAUGAUUGGAAAGUAUUCUGGGUCCAAAAUAUCCUUGAGUUCAACUUUCACCAAAAUCCAAGGACCACCACCUCUGCUUCAGUGACUUGAAGCAUCCGGAGUUCACAGCUCAUGAACAUCUCAACAUGUGCAAUAAAGUCCUGCUAUCCUCUGUGUCCCUGAGUCAAUCCAAGGUGCUUCUAAGAGGAAAAUGAUACGAUGUCAUUACGCUGCCUAAUCCUUUGGAACAGAAAGAAUCAUUUUAAGAGUGAAAGUAAGUGGAGAAAUGCAUUGAAGGAUUGUUGAUCAGUGCUCUCCUGUAGGGAGGUCUCAUCACGCCCUGACAAAGACUUAUGGAUGAUUAGCUGAGCACCCAGAGGAGAAAUGGGAAAAGAAAUGUUAGACCUCCAGGUCAAACCGCUGGAAAACUUGAAUUCAAUUUCUGUGCUCCUGCUGCUGCUGUGGGCAGCUCCUGCCUAUGCUCUGCACUCCAGCAAUGGACUGCAUCCUUUCAGUUAAAUUACUUGUCUUUAAGGCAAAUACAGAACUGUUGUGAAAUGCUCAUAUCCUCAAGGGACAUGUGUUGUAUAAGACUGAGAGCUCUUUUUCACUCUUUCUCAGGAUUUUCUGUGACAGAGGACCAGAAAUGUUGCCGGGAUAGUAGAUUUUGAAGUCUGGAUUGGUAGCAAAAGUAUUCACUGCGAUGGGAGUGGUGAUCGAGAAAACAGAACAAGUCCUUUGGGAAUUCCAGUGAUUUCAGCAGUUACACUGGCAUACAACUGAUACAAAGAAGUGAUGAAUCAGACUCUGUAGAAGAAAUCCUAGCCCAUUGAAUUCAGCAGGAAUUCUGCCAUUGACCUCAAGAGAGAAACGUUUUUACUGAUAGUUCUGAGGAAGACAGUUUCACAAAGCUCGCAGUAAAGAAGAGUGUGUAUCACUUCCUCCCUUGUGACUAAUCCUGCUCCCUUUACUGACUUUGCUCUGAUAUCUGGGAAGCCUCAGAAAACCUAUCUGCCACCAGAACAGUGAGCAAUUCCUAAGGAAACAGAUGAAUCAACAAAGUUAGAACCACUUUCAUCCUUUCUACACAAACGAUAUGUUGUAUUCCCGUCUGAUAGACCUAUGAAGGGAAAGCAGCUCAGGAUGGCCAAUGGUUUCCCUCACCAGUGCAGUCACUAAAGAGAAUCAAGAAUCAGGAAGUCAGACUACACUCUGCAAUUGCUUCUUCAAACCUUAAAAAUCAAGGAGACAUGGAGCGAAUGACUGUAUUGGGUUUGAGUCAAUGGAGAAUUACGUUCUGCUGCAUCUGGAGAGGAUAAGAAUUUGCAGGAAUCGUGGACAAGGCCAGGCCCUGGUGUAUUGGAUGAAGAAAGAAGCCCUUCCUCUGGACAAGAUGUCUACUAGACCCAGCUGAGCAUUGUGAAAGAGUCAGGAGGACUUUCCAAUAUGUGGUAUUACGCCUAAACAGCUUUUCUGGAGCAGCAGUUUUGGAUCAGCAUUCCUGGAUAAUCCCACGAGUGGACAAUAUCUACAUGUGGAAUUAAACAGAAAUAGUUGCUGUGUUUAGUUUCCUACCUGCAUUUGUGCCAAACUAAUUUUAAAGUGUAAAUGGUCCCUAAGAGAUUACAUAUGCACCCAGAGGAGGAAAUGCAUUCUGCUACUAUACGGCUGAAUUUGUACAAUUUAUGGAGCAUGUCAUAUAAAUGGAAUGGACAGAAAUCUGUUACUAAAUUGGAAUUGAAGAACAUGAUUGAGUGUAUCAGUGAAUGACUAAGGCCUUUAGACCUUAAAAUUGGUUUGAGUGUUCAUAGCUAUAAGCAUCCAUGAGAUCUCCCAGCAACUGGAUUGUAUAUUUGCAUAUAUAGCCUCUUCCUCUGAGUUAAAAUUUGGAUUUUUUUUUUUUCUGAUAUAUAUAAACAUUAUUCUGCCUCUCAGGCUUGACUUAAGUUACUGAAUAAAUUAGGAGUGAAAGACAACUGUGGAAAUUACAGCUAGAAAGGCAACUGAUUUAUUUUUUAAAUGCUUCUGCACAAUUUAAAUUUGAUUUGUGGUAAAUGAGACACUUGAGCAGAUGAAUUUGAAGGAGGCAUAACUUUCUCAGGCUUGCUUAUAUUUUCGGAUAGACUUACUGGAAAAGUUUUAGUUCAUCACUCUUCCAGGAUCUUGAAAUCUGACCAAGAAACCUUCCAAAGUAAUAUGAAGUUCAUGCUAAAACAAUGUUAUCAGAUAGGAAAAGUUAAUGCUACUGUUAUCUACAGGUCAGCUAACGUGUAAGUUCUCACAGAAGUUCUCUAGCAUAAUAGAUUUGCUUCCUUACUAUGGAAAUCAUGCUAUUGCUACUAUUAACAGAAACAAAAUCAGAUUCUGGCUCAACUAUUUCUAUUUAAUAAAGAAAAAAACCUGUUUAGAGCUACAGAAUAAGUAACAGCAUAUCAACUGUUUUGGUUCUUUUCCUCUGUGAACUAUGUCGAAAAAAAAAAAAAACCAACAAAUUAUUCGCUAAGACUAUUUUGUUUUCUUAGUUUGCUUGCUACACUGAAUUUUGCAAUUAUUAUUUAUAUGUCAUAUAGAGCUUCUCUGAAGUAUUUGAGUUGCGUUGAUAGCAUUUGUGUUUACAGAAUAAAAACACUUAUUUUUACACACAGAA
rnacentral:lncRNA from 1 species